rnacentral:rRNA from 1 species
AUUGAACGCUGGCGGAAUGCUUUACACAUGCAAGUCGAACGGCAGCACGGACUUCGGUCUGGUGGCGAGUGGCGAACGGGUGAGUAAUACAUCGGAACGUGCCCAGUCGUGGGGGAUAACGUAGCGAAAGCUACGCUAAUACCGCAUACGAUCUAAGGAUGAAAGCGGGGGAUCGCAAGACCUCGCGCGAUUGGAGCGGCCGAUGGCAGAUUAGGUAGUUGGUAGGGUAAAGGCCUACCAAGCCGACGAUCUGUAGCUGGUCUGAGAGGAUGAUCAGCCACACUGGGACUGAGACGCGGCCCAGACUCCUACGGGAGGCAGCAGUGGGGAAUUUUGGACAAUGGCGCAAGCCUGAUCCAGCCAUUCCGCGUGCAGGAUGAAGGCCUUCGGGUUGUAAACUGCUUUUGUACAGAACGAAAAGGCUCUGGUUAAUACCCGGGGCUCAUGACGGUACUGUAAGAAUAAGCACCGGCUAACUACGUGCCAGCCGCCGCAGUAA